rnacentral:lncRNA from 1 species
CGUCACUUCAUUAUUGGCUGCACCUGCGCAAUCAUGUGACGCGAUACAUUUUUUCAAAGACGUUUUUCAAGACACAGGAGAGGUCGGGUUGAAACAUUACUGAUGUUUCACGUUAAAAAUGGCUCUAAAGAUUGAUGCUAAACAACGUUUGACAUGUUUGAACAAUGUAAAUAGAUUAUUUUUUUUACUUUUCGCCGUGACUCCCCCCCGCUACUUUUUAGUAGCCUACCGAAGCGCUAACAACAUGGAACAACUUGGAGUUAUUUGGACAUCAAUUAUGAACUUUGUUGAAAGAAACCACAUUUGCAGUGGACCUGGGAUGCGUGGAAUUGCCAAUGGAUGAAGAGAAUCAAAGGACCUGAGCCCUAGGACCAUGCCUCAGGACUACCUGGUAUGAUGACUCCUUGCUGUCCCCAGUCCACCUGGCCGUGCUGCUGCUCCAGUUUCAACUGUUCUGCCUGCGGCUAUGGAACCCUGACCUGUUC